UUCAACAGGUUUAAACCUAUAAAUAGGGACAGAAAACUGGACAAUGCUGUCAAAGAAAUAUUGCUGAUACAAGACUUCUACCAUUAUGGGGAGCAACGACAUGAACAAGAUGGAAGUCAAAACCAGCAGACAGGUUUUCCUGAGAUUACAGAAGAUGAUUUAUCAAGUGUUAUCCCUCAAGAAGAAACGUUGAAGGAGCGCUCGCUUAAAGGGGCCAAGAAAUUUCCCUCUGAAUCAGCUACAGUUGGAAACAAGGGAAUCAAACCCCCCCUCCCCCGAUUUUGAACAACCCCGCACAACCAAAUCCCUCAUUACACAGUCGGCUGCUCUUAAAAAGGGCCAAAAAAUCUACCUCUGAAACAGCGACAGUUUCCAGGGGUGGGGAAAAGGGGAUCAGACCCCCUGAUGUUGAACCACCCUGCACCUCCAGAGCUAAGAAAUCUACCUCUGCAGCUUCCAGGGACAUUGAAACAAGACCAAAGGAUCCCUGCAGGCACAAUCAGGAGAAGAGGGCUUUAACAGGGACUUGGUGCACAAUAGAGUUGGUGAAGGCUUUAAACAAAGGGUACAGGAUCGCUGAAAUUUAUGAAGUCUGGCAUUUUAACUGCUCUUCAGAUGCCCUGUUUUCAGACUACAUUAAAACACAACUGAGACAGAAACAAGAGGCCUCAGGAUUCCCUCACUCGUGGACGGACGAGUUAAAAAAAAACAGUACGUUAAAGAGUACCGGGGACGAGAAGGCAUGUGUCUGUGUCUAAACAAGAUAAAGGUAAACCCCGCAAAAAGGCAAAUCUCAAAGCUGUUUUUAAAUUCCUUGUGGGGAAAAUUUGGUCAGCAAACAAAUUUGACUAGCACCAGUACAGUAACGGACCCUGACGAGCUCUUCAAGCACAUCUUUGUACCUUAUUACGAUAUGUCAGCGUGCGAGUUUAUCAAUGAUGAUACGGCAGUGGUGUCUUGGAAGUACACAAAAGAAUGCUGCACCCAUUCCAGCAACACUAAUGUGUUUAUAGCGUGCUUUACCACCGCUUAUGCCAGGCUAGAGCGCUACCAUCUGUUAGAUCGCUUACAGGAGCGGUCUCUUUAUCACGAUACAGAUUCUGUAAUUUUUGUGAGUAAAGAAGGGGAGUGGAAUCCGUCCCUAAUGGAUUAUUUAUGGGAUCUGACUAACAAAAUACCCCCAGAUUAAUACAUCGUGGAGUUUGUGUCCGCUGGGCCUAAAACAUACGGGUACAAACUGUCCAGCGGUAAGACCUGUAUGAAAUUAAAAGAGAUCACACUCAACUCAGGGAAUAGUGAGAAAAUUAAUUUUGAAAGCUUAAAAUAAUUUGUCUGGGAUUACCCCACGGGAGAGAUCCCAAAAGAAAUCAUGGUACAGCAGCCAGGAAUCGUACGGGUAAAAAACAUUGGUUGAUAGAAACAAGAACUCUGAAGAAAACCCAGAAAGUUGUUUAUGACAAAAGAGCCCUCAAGGAGGAUUUAAAAACCUUGCCGUACGGAUAUUGAUUAUUAUGAAAAGCCAUGUUCGGUUUGUUCACCCUUUUUCCUGUUUGCUUUGUGGCCCCUCGAAUUCUGGAAAAACAUUUUUUAUAAAGCAAUUGUUAGAAAAUGGUAAUAAGUUGUUAUUGUGUAUGCCUGAAAACAUUGUGUAGUGUUAUAGUUGUUGGCAACCAUUGUAUAAAGAGUUGCUGCAAAAAUUUUCAUGUAUUACAUUUUUGGAAGAUUUACCUAAUACUUUUAAUGAUGAACAUUUAUUUCCUAGUA